AGAGUUUGAUCAUGGCUCAGGACGAACGCUUGCGGCGUGCCUAAGAAAUGCAAGUCGAACGGUCAGCAAUGACAGUGGCGAACGGUCGCGUAACACGUAAGCAACCUGCCCUAAAGUGGGGGAUAACGUCUCGAAAGGGACGCUAAUACCGCAUGUGGUCGCUCUCUGGCAUCAGGGAGCGUCUAAAGAUUUAUCGCUUUAGGAUGGGCUUGCGGCCUAUCAGGUAGUUGGUGGGGUAAUGGCCUACCAAGCCGACGACGGGUAGCUGGUCUGAGAGGACGAUCAGCCGGAUUGGGACUGAGAUACGGCCCAGACUCCUACGGGGGGCAGCAAUUAGGAAUCUUGCACAAUGGGGGAAACCCUGAUGCAGCGACGUCGCGUGGGGGAUGACGCUUUUCGGAGUGUAAACCCCUUUUGGCAGGGAAGAAAUUUGACGGUACCUGUCGAAUAAGCCCCGGCUAACUACGUGCCAGCCGCCGCGGUAAUAC
rnacentral:rRNA from 1 species